rnacentral:lncRNA from 10 species
UCUUUUUGCCAUUGCAAACUGAAGACAAGAAUCACUUCCUGAUCACUGGGUUGUUGUAAGGUUUGUCUUCCCUGCAAAAUGCCUUGGGAACAGUCUUCAUGUUAUCAUUUGCAAAAUGCUGACUCACAGGAGAUAUUGAAUAUGUGUUUGUUGACUGGCUACGAAAUGGAAAUGUAUUGUUUUCUCUAUUAUGAAGAGAAAGUGAGGCAGAGCAAGCAGUUGGAGGAGAACGAUAUUUAACUGAGAAAGAAAUAUGUCCACAAGGAAGUGAUCAACAAUCCUACAUGCUGCAAAGUGAUUAAGGAGAAUAAAGAUCAAGAGGAUGUAGAAGCCUGAUUAUAACUGGAAAGAAAGUUAAUACAUCCUGAGGACAGCAGUAGGUGUAAACAACAAAUUCAUACAUUUUGUAGAAAAUAGAGGUGAAAAACUGGUUACAGAAACUCAGUGCACAGCAAGGGCAAAUAAGCUUGUUUGCAAGCUAGAAGUCUUCUGUUGAUGCCAAAGAAAGAAAAUAGUAUAUUAUGUAGCAGGAAUGGACAGAGAA